rnacentral:rRNA from 1 species
GUAAACGGCGGCCGUAACUAUAACGGUCCUAAGGUAGCGAAAUUCCUUGUCGGGUAAGUUCCGACCUGCACGAAUGGCGUAACGACUUCCCCGCUGUCUCCAACAUAGACUCAGUGAAAUUGAAUUGCCUGUCAAGAUGCAGGCUUCCCGCGGUUAGACGGAAAGACCCCGUGCACCUUUACUACAACUUUACACUGAUAACAGGCACAACAUGUGCAGAAUAGGUGGUAGGCUUUGAAGCAGAAACGCCAGUUUUUGUGGAGCCUCCUUUGAGAUACCACCCUUGUUUUGCUUGUUAUCUAACUGCGGUCCGUUAUCCGGAUCCAGGACCCUGUAUGGUGGGUAGUUUGACUGGGGCGGUCGCCUCCUAAAGCGUAACGGAGGCGCGCGAAGGUUGGCUCAGAGCGGUCGGAAAUCGCUCGUUGAGUGCAAUGGCAGAAGCCAGCCUGACUGCGAGACUGACAAGUCGAGCAGAGACGAAAGUCGGUCAUAGUGAUCCGGUGGUCCCGAGUGGAAGGGCCAUCGCUCAACGGAUAAAAGGUACGCCGGGGAUAACAGGCUGAUGACGCCCAAGAGUCCAUAUCGACGGCGUUGUUUGGCACCUCGAUGUCGGCUCAUCUCAUCCUGGGGCUGGAGCAGGUCCCAAGGGUAUGGCUGUUCGCCAUUUAAAGAGGUACGUGAGCUGGGUUUAGAACGUCGUGAGACAGUUCGGUCCCUAUCUGCCGUGGGUGUAGGAUACUUGAGAGGAGUUGCCCCUAGUACGAGAGGACCGGGGUGAACGAUCCACUGGUGGACCAGUUGUCGACUACGGCAGUGCUGGGUAGCUAUGAUCGGACAGGAUAACCGCUGAAAGCAUCUAAGCGGGAAGCCCCCCUCAAAACAAGGUAUCCCUGAGGACCGAGGUAGACCACCUCGUCGAUAGGCCAGAGGUGUAAGCGUGGUAACACGUUCAGCUGACUGGUACUAAUGGUCCGAUAGGCUUGAUUUG